GUGGGUGUAGCACAUGGUGUGUAACUGCUAACAAUGAGGACCAUCUUUUGAUGUUGCCAGCAGUCACCUGGGUUCGAUUCCCGGCACCCACA